CACAAUGGACAUCCAGCUUAGCUUCCUGGUCUAUCCGUCCAGGACCCAGACGGUUCUCUGCCAAGCAAGAGUAAUUCCCAGCGUGCCACAGGGAGACUUUACGGAUGUGGAGCUUCUCUUGGGUGUCUCCAGGUAUAUGUUUCCUGUUGUGAUACCAGGUGUAGUUUGUUGCACUCGGACUGGCCAGUGAGUCACAAAUCAGCUCUACUGACUGUCCCUCUUCAGCGGGGGAAGGGUGGAUGUGAACCCUGGAGGGUUCUGGAGCAUCUGAAAGAAUGUAUGGCCACAGGACAGCUUCAAGGAAACUCACAGUACACCGUGAGUUCCACUUCUUCUGACUUUCCUGGGCCUAUGUCGUUGGAAGCCUGGCACCGGUAUUUCCCUCUCAUGUCCUUGGUCACUGAAUGCAGAGUUAGCUUGGACAUCUGUUGUUCCUGUUCCUGAUCCUGAUCCUCUAGGGGGCGCCCAUCCUUGAACCAAGACACCGCCGUCCUGAGUUUCGGGUU
rnacentral:lncRNA from 1 species